rnacentral:rRNA from 1 species
CAACUUGAGAGUUUGAUCCUGGCUCAGAACGAACGCUGGCGGCAGGCUUAACACAUGCAAGUCGAGCGCAUCGCAAGAUGAGCGGCAGACGGGUGAGUAACGCGUGGGAAUCUACCGUGCCCUACGGAAUAGCUCCGGGAAACUGGAAUUAAUACCGUAUACGCCCUUCGGGGGAAAGAUUUAUCGGGGUAUGAUGAGCCCGCGUUGGAUUAGCUAGUUGGUGGGGUAAAGGCCUACCAAGGCGACGAUCCAUAGCUGGUCUGAGAGGAUGAUCAGCCACAUUGGGACUGAGACACGGCCCAAACUCCUACGGGAGGCAGCAGUGGGGAAUAUUGGACAAU